ensembl:snoRNA SNORA70 Small nucleolar RNA SNORA70
CAGCAGCCAGUUAAACCAACCUGGUUCCUUUCCUCAUUGUGGCCUGGUGUGCAGUGCCUGCAAACAGCCUCCUUGAUAGUGUACAUAAACUGUUGCCUGUACAGGUUGCCCUAAGGGACCCUGGAGACAGUU